UACGGAGGGGGCUAGCGUUGUUCGGAAUUACUGGGCGUAAAGCGCACGUAGGCGGCUUUGUAAGUUAGAGGUGAAAGCCCAGAGCUCAACUCUGGAAUUGCCUUUAAGACUGCAUCGCUAGAACGUCGGAGAGGUGAGUGGAAUUCCGAGUGUAGAGGUGAAAUUCGUAGAUAUUCGCAAGAACACCAGUGGCGAAGGCGGCUCACUGGCCCGGUACUGACGCUGAGGUGCGAAAGCGUGGGUAGCAAACAGG
rnacentral:rRNA from 1 species